GAUUUCUCCCCCUCUCUCUUCAAACUCUACGUUCUCCAUUUUUCUUCGAAUUUUCCAGAAAAUUUGUCGUAAUUUAUGUGUAAUUUGUCAACUAAUAGCUACAAUUACACUUCAUUUCUUCACAAAAUCAAAAAUUUUAACGAUUUACAUUGAUUUCCAGCUUCAAUUUAGGGUUCUUCAUCGUUUUGGGGCGAAAUCACAGACCAAUUGUUUAAUUUGGGGAAACUAAUUCAAAAUUUUCUACGACGCUGUAAAAUCAUGAUCAAAAUCAGGAGUCACGAGAUGAUUAGGUGAUAGAAAAGGCAGGAGUCAGAAGAUGGUUAGGUGAUAGAAAAUGAUGGUUCUGGUCCAGCAUAAGCUGGUUUUUUGUUGUCUUAGUAGACCAAACAUUACUCGUUAACUUUGGUGCAGUGUGGACUUCAGUUUCUUCGAUGUUGCAGCAAAAAGGUUUUUGUCUAUUCUCAUUGUUAUUACUUGAAAAUAACUUUUAUAUUGCUCUAAACAUGUGGUAACGUUGGGUGUAAAACAUGUUUCAAUAAUCUCUACUUGGUCAUUGUUUUGUAUUUUCGUUUAAUUAUAGUUCUUAAAAUGUGUUGGAUGUAAGUUUGGUUGUUGGUUUUUUGGUGGAUGGUUUUCCCACUCGUUCAUAUAUUCUUUCCUCUCUAAAAGUAAAUUAAAUCUCUCUAAAAGUAAACUAAAUCUCCCUAAAAGUAAACUAAAUAAUAAUGGAACUUUGAUUGUGAGUUUUUUCUUUAUAUUAAUCCAAAAUUUAUUAGCUCAAAUGGGAGAGCAAUGUGUCAUUGCACAUGGAUGUAGGUUCAAAUCCUACAUAGGUUGGUUAUUUACAUGUGUAUAAAACACAAAAGAACAUAACAAACUCAAAAGUAAAUUAAAAAAACUCAGAAGUAAUUAACGAAAUCUUAAAAGUAAAUAUGCAGAUCUCAAAAGUUAAUCUGAAUGUGGUCAUCAUUGGAAUGGAAAAAUGACAUUAGAGGUGGGUGUAUUUUCAAAGGUCUCUCCUCGAAUCUAGAACCCAUUUAUAGCUAAAAUGACACCUCCAUAAAUGUACUUCAAUCCUCUUUAAUUUGUCUCCUAAAAAGGGAAUUCAAGAUAUUGGUAAUCGUGUUAUGGAAGAAACUGCACAAUCUGCUUCACACGUGCAAGAAAAUGAACAUGUGAGGGAACAAACUUUUAAUGUUGACGAACUAAAUGUCAGGGCAGGAACUUCUCCAGUAGAUGAUCUAGGACGAAGAUUUGAAAAAGUUAUGAUGCCAUGAAUAUGUCUCAUUCUGAUGUUAGGGAUGAUAACAUUGAUGAUUCUUAGAUAGUUGACGAGUUUGAUAAUGGAAGUGAAGGGCAAGGCAUUAAGGAGCUUGGGAAAUCUGGUAUGAAGAAUGGGUAGCACAAACCUGGGAGGAGACGUGGAAAAAUAGGUUUAUGUAAUUUUCAUUUUGUUCAAUUUAAAAGUAAAUUAAAAACUAGUAAAAGUAACUAUAACUGAUUCAAAAGUAAAGAAUUAGAAAAUAGGAGAAUUAACAUCAUAUGCAAAGUAUCAAAAGUUACCUAUGUAGGAUUCGAACCUACAUCAUUGUGCAAUGCACAAAGCUCUACUAAUUGAGCUAAUAGGCUUUACAAUAAGGAAGACGACAUGGUAUUUUUAAGAGGAAACCUGAACCGACCCUGCUACAAAAGUUUAACUUUGAACAGUUUAAUCCAGACCAGGACUUGCAGAAACAAACAACACUUCGAACCAGCCUUUUAGAAACACUUAUGGUCUGCUAGUUUUUGAGGUCUGUUGGCAGUAGCUUGCUGCGGACAUAUGCAGAAUGUUUCAUUAUAAUUCUCAAAAUACUAAAAGUGAAUGUUUUCCUAUUAAAAGUAAAUCAAACAAUACAAAAAGUAAAUAAAAGUAGAAACUAAUUGAAUACACAAGUAUACUUCAAUAAGGAGUCUCGUCACCGCAAUGCACACACUUAACCUAAUGUGAUUUGCUACACUAUCCCUGCAAGGCCAAAACCCCUGAACAAGUAAAUUUAGUCUGAAGCCCAACAACUGUAGAAUCCCACAAAAGCCAAAAUCAGAAUUAAAAAUAAAAAGAAAGAACAAACACAAAAAAACUACUUUCCAAACAAUAGAACCAGUUGCAAUCUUCUAUCUUUCCAUCUAAUCCAUGAAAAAUAUAGUAGGAAGAAUUAGAAUGUAAUAGUACAUUUUAUCUAUUGUAAACAUUGACUUAGCCAUGGUCAACCAUGAUCUCAACAGGCAACAGCAGUGUCACCUGGCCUCUAAGCAAAUUGCAACAUAGUUACACAAUCAACCUAAUUUUUUUGUUACUAGGUGGCCAAAGGACCGAUGCAAUGAUGUAGAAGUAACUUAACCUAAAUUGUUGACCUUAAAUAUCAGAGCAGUUAUAACUCUCAAUUCUUCCUCCCAUGCUUCCUGCAACUUAAGAACCUAACCACAAUUCCUUAAACAACCUGGAAAAUGUCCCACGAUUACGACUUACAAGCAACCAAACAAAUUGCAAAAUUGAAAUUUGAAAGCCAUGGUCAACCCUGAUCUCAACAGGCAACAAUAUUUCAUAUCUAACCAAAUUGCAACAUAGUUACAUAGUCAACCCAUCAUAUUCAACCACAUACCAUAAAAAUUCAAGUAAUCAUUCACUUUUAUUUAGGGUGUUAAUAUUACACAUUGCAUUUGCUGAUUUCCUCAAACAUAAACAUAUUGACUAACCUAUCCAUCAAAACUUCAGUUCAUGUAAAAAUGUAAGAGCACAAACUAUCAGAAAGACCAAACAUAUUUCACAUAAUUAUGACUUUAUGAGCAACAAUGGUUUUGAAUUUCAAAACAAGCACAUAUAGUAACACCAACUCAAUUCGAGUAAACUUAUCCAAUUUAAGGAAAUCAAAUGCAUAACCCUAAUUCGAGCAAAAUCAGAACGAAAAAACAAGCAAAACGCACAAACUUCAAUUAAAACCCCAAUUAAAGUAAGUCAACUACUAAAAUUAGAAACGUAUUUACCUACCAGAACACAAUUGCGAGAACGAUGAAAAUUGAAUCUCCAAAAUUGCGAGAGGAAACAGAAAAUUACGAGAGUAGAGAAGAUAAUUGUGAAUAUGAGCAAAAUCGAAGAACAACGGAAAACCUAUUACCAAUUCUUAGAUGGAGGUUUGAUUAUCUUGAUCAAUUCGGGGAUAGAAAAUUGUUCGCACCAAAGGAGAGAAGAGAGAAGAGAUGCGAAUUCGGAGGAAGAGCAAGAACAGUAGAGAGGAUUUGCAAGAGGAGAGAGAAAACUAAUCGAAGAGAGAGAAAAUAAUACGAGAAACGAAAUUGAAAGGAGAAUGUCAUUCAACACGUAGAAAUUACCAAUAUGCCCUUAAUGGUUUGAUUUGAGCGGGUGACAAUUGAGUCGUCCAAUUGGAUGGAACUUACGGCGUAGAUUAGUUCUCAGUUCUUAUCUUAAUGGGUGGUUCUCACCAGAUCCAGAUUCUAUAUAUAUAUAUAUAUAUAUAUAUAUAUAUAUAUAUAUAUAUAUAUGUAUAUAUACUCACUCAAAUGAGAAGACACCUUAUAAUGAGAAGAAUGAGAAGGAAUGUAAAGCAUCUGCGUGUACGGUCAGAUCAGAUUUGAAUUUUUUUGCUCAUUUGUACUUUUUCGCUCAUUUGAAUAUUUUUUUCUCAUUUGAAAUUGUCAUCCCACCUACAACUCACACGCUACCAUCAUCGUCCUCCCACCUGCUGUAAUUACAGUUGCCAUGAAAUUGCAUAUUCGAUUAAAAAAAAAUGAAUUUAAUAAAUUCAACAUCACAAAUCUGAAAUUGUCAAACUUCUAACAAAAUUAAUUGAAUUAGGAAGCUUAAUUUAAUUGAACACCUAAUUUGCUCAUAUGAGGUGAAAGAUCCGAUUGGAACUGAAACAUGGAGGAGAUAGAAACAUUCAUCGAAAUUGACUGAAAUUUUGCUCAUUUAAUUAUUUUUUUGCUCAUUUUAACAAAAUGAGCAAAUUGUUCAGCUCACUUUACACAAAAUGAGCUAAUUGUUCUGCUCAUUUACACAAAAUGAGAAAAUCUUCCUAACCUAUUUGGGAUGCAUCUGUAAUUGUUCUUCCUCCCUCAAAUCUUCCUCAAUUCAACUUAUCUUUUUCACUCCUCAAAUUUCCCCAACCAAAGUAUUCAUAUCACUAAAACUCAAACAAAAUUUCAUUGGUUAGCCGCACAAAAUACCAACCAAACUCAAUCUACAAAUUCUCGUGAAAUGAAAUAACAAAGAAUGAGAAAUGAGAAAUCCUAAUUCAGUCAACACCUUAUUAGAAGCUUCUAAUUUCGGUGGAGGCGACAACAAAACUCCGGAAAAAUUGAGGAGAGAGAAACUCAAUUUACAGAGGAGAGAUAAAAUUUGUUGCCAUAUAUGGAAUUGAUUUUUUUUUACUCGUUGAUUUCUGCCAUUUUUUGUAUAAUUGUGCAAGAUAUAAACAUGGGGAAGAAGCUAAAAAUCAGAAGGAAUGCUAAAUUAAAAUGAUGAAAAUUAAUUUCUACCCACCAUUGAGGAUUUGAGGAGAGAGAAAAGAUGAGUGCAAAAUUCCAUAGAAGAUAUCAGAAGCAAAUAAAGAAGUGGUGGGUCCGGUGUUCUAUUUUUUUAUUUCUUGUGAUUUAAAGUUGUUUGCACGCGUGAACUAUAGACCAUCGGAGAAGUGUUUUAUACCAUUCUCCCACACUAUUUAAUUAGGGGCUUACUAAACCCCGCCCCAAAAAUACUCACCCGCCCUAUUAAAUGUCACAACUACCCCUCUCUAUAUUUACCCCUUCAUUUUUUUUACCUUUCACCUUACUUUCACUCACCAUCUUACCUCCAACUAUACAACCCACCUUCAACCUUACAACCCACUUUCAACCUUACAACAUUCCGGCAGCCACCACUCCGGCCGGACCUCCGGCCGAAAUUCGGGCGACCCAAAAUUCCGGUGAUCCGAAAUCCGGUGGCUACCACCACUCCGAUGAGCACUUAUUUCGGCGACGCAAAUCUCCGGCGAAAAAUGCGUCAAAAUUCUUACAUGUACAAGUCAUCCCGGGGAACAUCCACGCAAUCCCAAGAGGGUGUGACACCUAAAUCGUGUCUCCCCAUUGGGAUGAUGACGAUACCAUUAUCCUUGCUAGGUGGUUGGAACAACUCCGUGCGGAAAUCCCAAUUGCUAAAACUUAUUCCAAAAUCCAAGAUCCAAAAUCCAAUCCCCGAGACCGUUCCCAUUAGGGAACUCGGUACAAAAUUCAAUUUACGAAAAUCAAUUUCAAAAUCCAAGUACAAUCUCACCCAAUGGACCACUCCAUUGGUUUUACAAGGCCUUUUCCAGUCGAAAUGACACUAAGCAAUCCAAAUUCGGGCGCCGACCCACAAAACUGAGCAAGCCGAGCCUCGUCCCGUAAAACCGAAUUUGAAAAACCAAAACGGCUAGUUUUUAGUCGCAAAUUUCCUUAACCACCAUGCAAAGCUACGUGCCAAAAAACAGUACAAUUCGUACAAAGGGUACGCUCACUACAAGCCAAACGCAAGGACGGCAUCUUCGUCCUUGCUUGGCGUCUUCUGUGUCACGUCAACGGCGCCAGGCGCCGUUGAUGCACUGGGCGCAGCUGUCAGCUGGCAAUCAACCUCUCGUUUCCCUAUUUAAACCCCUAAUUUCCAGCACUUUAGGGCAGCAAUUCAUAACCUGAACAUCUUAAUUCUAAAAUUGCCUCUCAAAAUCCAAAAUACAAUUCUUCAAAAAACCCAUACAAAUCUCAAGUUUCUAAGCAAUUGGGAGCUCCAAGAGGAAUUCUAGCUUAAACCUUACUAGGUAAUUCCGAAUCCCAAUCCUAAUCUACCAUGUUUCUAUAAUUUCUCUUUCAAAAUGAUUAGUAAAGUUGGCACUUUUACUCUUAAAAGUGCCACUUACAACAAUCACAUAUUUUUAAAAAAUCAACACAUUCUAUAAUUAAUACAAAUACAAAGUUCCAAGAUUCAAUGAUGUUUAAGGUUGUUUGUAAUCACUUCCUUAAAAUAGAAUCAUUUUCAAAACAUGGAGUAAUCAAAGGUGAGGCCUUUUUAAUGUUUAAAGGUCUAAUCUUUGAGAUUCAAGACUCCACUUUUCAAUAUUCAAGUUCAAAUUUCAUUUUCAAGAUUCUAUGAUGUUUAAGGUUGUUUGUAAUCACUUCCUUAAACUAGAAUCACUUCAAUACAUGGAGCAUAUAAAACAUGAAACCUUUUCAACAUUAAAGGUCUAAUCUUUGAGAUUCAAGACUCCUCAUUUCAAUAUUCAAGUACCAUAUUCAAGAUUCAAUAUUUCAAGUUCAAUUUCUAUGUCCAAAAUCUAAGACAUUUUGGGAUGAGAAACUUGUCCUAAAGUUGAUAUUUUUAGACUUGAAUCCGUGACGGACGCACUUAUUCUUAAGAAGUCGUUUGACGUUCGAAUCUCAAAUACAAUAGUUCAAUUUCAAUAUCGCAUCUUUUCAAUUAUGCACUUCAAUACCGCAAUUUCAAUAACGCCUUUCAAUUAUGCACUUCAAUAUUGCAAUUUCAAUAAUGUCUUUAAAUAUUGCACCUUUCAAUUCCGCACUUUCUAUUUAUGCAACUUUACUUGCCUAGUCCUUUUAGGCAAUGUGGUUUCCCACCUAGUCCUUUUCUAGGUGGUGAUGUAUUUUUACUAAUUACGCACUUAUUUUCUAUUGUGAUGUUGCUUUACUUGUUUAUUACUUUCAUCGCCUCACAUGUUAAAUACAACAAAAUGCAAAGUUACAUGCUUAACAACGAUGAUUUCUUGGACAAACCGGCCUUAGGUUCCCUUAAAUUAACUUUAAAGCGAAGUGGUCAAGAUACAAAAGUAGAUUUUCUAUUUUUGCAAGUUCUAAAUUCAAACCCACAUAGUGUCAUGACUAGGGUAUUUUGAAAAUUUUUUAAGCCAUGCAUUUGAAUACAAUUUCUAAGGCUCGCGGAAUAAGCAUCUCGUUCCCUUUCCCGGAUCUCACCCAUUCGUUUCUAAGAUUCAACGCCUUAUUUGAUAUAGAUUCAAUUUUAGUCUUUCCAAACGGGACCCUUAAAAAUGUUUGGUGGCGACUCCUUCGAAAUCCAAAAAUUACAAAAUCCUUACGUAGGGGAAAUACAAAUUUGUCAACAGAAGAAAACCCCCCUACAAUUCUGGCGACUCUGUUGGGGAGUUUCUGAUUUCAAUUUCGAUAAUACGAGCAUGCCUUGAGCAACAAGCCACUGCUUUGGUUAAGUUCUGGAUGUCAGCUCUUGCGCCAGGCGCAUGCCUUUACGCCAAACGCCACUGCCUGCAUCCAGCACAGUGGCUCACAGUGGCUGGUUGCCUAUGCUGCUCCAAUUCUCGAGUGGGAGUCAGUUCUGUUUUUGAAUUUUGAAGAACACUCCCAAACCUUGAGAACGAAUGUCGAAAAACGAGCCUUUCAAAUACAAUUUUCAAAUGCAAUUUUCAAUUUUCAAUUUUUAGGCAUUUCAUGCAUAUUUUGAAAACCAUAUUUGUGCAAAACGAAUUUCUACCUUGCCCAAUACGGAUGUGUUCUACAUUCGGGCUAGCCCCCGGGGCAACGAAAUGGUGAUUCUCCAUACGGUUCCUGAUCAAAGUGUGUGACCAUUUCCACGCCUACUGAAACUUGGCAUUUUCUUCACAUUCCUGAUGUCAAGUAUGGAGGUCGCCUGCCGACACACACGUCCCUUAGGUGGAUGUGCAAGUUGUUGCCGGAUCCGCCUCUUACUCAAGUACCCUUUUGACACCUAAAGCUGACCACUUGCAUCAUACAAAACUUAGACCGACCUUAGGUUGAGAACUUUGCAUGUUGCAUUUCAUAUCCAUUUUAGUGUGACAACGUGCUAUUUGUGCAUUGUGUGAGCGUCUUUGCACGCGUGAAUGCCUAACCUCGAGUUCUAGCUUUGCCCAAACCAUUAGCCUCCAACUAGGAAACCAAACCCCUAGGAGCAUCAUUCAAAAUUCAUGCAUCAAAAUCUCCGAUUUAAAGUCUUUUAGGAGUGCCACUCCUUUGAUUCAAAACCCUUAACGCCUCACGCACAAAUUCCAAAUUCAAAUUCAAUCCAACGGCACCAUAAUGCCGGAUUUUUAGUCAAAAUUUCAAAAUUCAAAUUCAAAUUCAAUCCAACGGCGUCAUAAUGCCGGAUUUUCUAGUCCAAAUUUCAAAUUCCAAAUUCAAAUUCAAUCCAACGGCGUCAUAAUGCCGGAUUUUCUAAUCUAAAUUUCAAAUUUCAAAUCCAAAUUAAUAUCCGACGGCUUCAUAAUGCCGGAUUUUCUAGUCCAAAUUUCAAAAUUCAAAUUCAAAUUCAAUCCAACGGCGUCAUAAUGCCGGAUUUUCUAGUCCAAAUUUCAAAUUCCAAAUCCAAAUUAAAAUCCAACGGCGUCAUAAUGCCGGAUUUUCUAGUCCAAAUUUCAAAAUUCAAAUUCAAAUUCAAUCCAACGGCGUCAUAAUGCCAAAUUUUCUAGUCCAAAUUUCAAAGUUUCAAAUUCAAAAUUCAAUCCAACGGCGUCAUAAUGCCGGAUUUUCUAGUUCAAGCAUUCAAACCUCCAAUUACAUGUUCAAUACCUCAAAUCCCUAAACCCAUAAUUACUCAUUCGACCAUUCAAAUCUCAAAACCUCAAGUUCAAAUAUCCAAACUCAUGAUGGCGUAAUGCCGACUUUUCAAUUCCAUCUUUCAAACCUCAAGCUCGAAUUCCCAAUUCCAAUCUCAAACUUCAAGUUCUGAUGUCCAAACUCAUGCCGGCAUAAUGCCGACUUUUCAAUUCAACCUUUCAAACUUCAAGACCGAAUUCCUAAAGUCCAUCUUUUAAAUUUCUAGUCCUAUACUCAAAAGCUUCAAUUCUAAAUCCAUGAUGGCGUAAUGCCUAAUUUUCCCAUUCAAUACAAAUUAAAAAUUCAAUCACCAACACCUCGAAAUCCUAAGUCCACGGCGGCAUAAUGGCGGACUUUCAACUUUCAAGUUCCUAUUCAAAUUCCCUUUUCAAAGUCAAAAGUUCCAAAUCCAAUGUCUCAAAUCCGUGGCGGCGUAAUGCCAAAAUUUUCAAAAUUCAAAGCCUCAAAUUCUAUACAAAAUGCAUCCUUCCCAUUUCCAAGUUCAAAUUCCGAAUCAAAUUCGAAUUUCAAAUCCAUCUUCAAACUACAAGAAUUCUCGCUUUCCAUUGCUCCCAAAUAAAAAAUUCGAAAAUAUUUCCAAUGGAUUGAAAAUCUCUUGAAAUAAUACAAGUCCAAUUUUCAAAAUCUUCAAUGAGUUGAAAUUCCCCUAAAAUAGUCCAACUUCCAUGGGUUGAAACUCCCCUAAAAUACUUCGAAAUUCAAUGGUUUGAAAUUCCCCUAAAAUACUUCGGAAUUCAAUGGGUUGAAAUUCCCCUAAAAUACUUCAAAAUUUAAUGGGUUGAAAUUCCUCUAAAAUAUUCCAUACUCUAUGAUGGGUCAAAACUCCCUCAUGACAUACAAAAUCCAAUGGAUAGAAACCCCCUUUCAAUGUUCCAAGUCCUAGUACAAGGAGAAAGCCUCCACAAAAAAUGAAGCUCCUUUCAAAUAUUUCCAACGGGUCGCAAAUCCCGGAUACAAAUACAAAAUCCAAAAUCCCGAAUCUUUGGAGUGGCACUUAGAGUCAAGUCUAGGUCUCAUUCAUUGCAUGCAUAUCAUAUCAUGUGUAGGGAAGUCCAAGUUCUAAAAUCAUAUCAUGUGCCUAACUAGGAGUCCAAGGAUCCUGUGGGUUCGCCGAAGAGGAGAAAGGUUGAAGAGAACUCCAUCAGCCCUAGCAUCUCUUAUAGCCGGCAUCAAAUGAGCAGCCUGUUCACCUUCUACAAAUCAAGCUCCUAGUCCCUUUCAAGAAUCAAUUCAAAUUUCCGUUGUCGAUCAAAUCACUCGGCUUAUGGCCAUUGUAGCCAACCUCAACACCAACCUGGAGAACAUAAGCAACCAUUUGGGUGUCGUGGAGCAGGCAGCACCCACGGAUGACCUAACCAAAAAGAUCGAGAGCCUGGUUAACAAGGUUACCAAUCAAGAAAACUACUUCGACACCUUGAUAGAGGACAAUCUCAAGGGAGGGCAAACUUGCCAGACAAAUUCUCUGCCAAUGACAUUCCGAAAUUCAAGUCGAUUUACAAUCUCAAAUAUCAUCUCAAGAACUUCAGAGCUACAAUGGCCAUUAAGGGGGUCAAGCCUGAGCUAUACCUCGUGGUAUUCCCCAUGUCCCUAGAACCAGUUUGCCAUAAGUGGUAUUACUCACUCAAAGAGCAUCAAACCAGUACUUGGGAAGCGGUCGCUCAAGCAUUUAUGGAGCAGUAUCAGCCCAACAUUUAACUUCAAACUAAUCUGCGAGAAUUAGAGGUUCUCAGGCAAGGGCCUCAAGAAGUUUGAACUAACUAUCUCAACCGGUGGAGAGAAAUGGCUUCCCAAAUGGUGACUCGACCCUCCGAGAGAAAAUUGGUCAAGAUUUUUAUUGUUGGGCUCCUUCCAAAGUAUAAUACUCAUAUGAAGUACCUAGGCCUGGAAAGUUUCAAGAGAACAUAUGACAUCCGAGUCGAUAUAGAGGACGAUCUGAUGAAAGAACCAUUAGCACCAACUCCACAAGCUGAAAAGUGGAAGGGUAAGAAAACUGAAGCAACACACAAGGUCCACGAGGUCAACGCCCUAGAAGCUCCUCAAGGUCCAAAGCCAAACAACUUAAAGAACAACAACAAUCAGCACAAUUUUCAAAAAAAGCCCCAAAGGGUCUUCACCAACUUCGGAAUGUCCUUUAGUGACGCCUUCGAUCGAGUGGCUGAGAAGCAAGUCAUCACUCCCAUCGGUCCUACACCAGACCCUCCAGUCAACAAAAGGUCCAAAAGUUGGGACCCUAAGGCAUAUUGCAAGUUCCACCAGGGGAAUGGACAUGACAUUGAAAGCUGCUUCAAGCUCAAGCACCUGAUCCAAAAAUAUGGUCGACAACAAGACCUUGCUCUUACCUCUAGGGGUCAAGCAGUCUCCCUCGGUGCAACCUAUCUCCUAUGGCUGUGAAGAUGAAGAUGAGGAUUUUCCAUGCAACCUAAUCUCUACAAUGUACAAGCCAGGCUUCGAGAUGAUGGUUCUAAGCUUUUACCAUCUCAUCCCACAUGCUCAAAACUGGGUGAUCCCCGAACCCAGGGUAACCACUGACAUUUAAGAAAAAAUUUGUCCCCUUGCCACCCUGAAGUCUUUGGGCUUCUCCGAUUAUGAUCUAAUGCUAACCACCAAACAGACCAUCAAGUUCCAGGGCAUUGCAUACAAAAUCCUGGGGGUCCUCGAUCUGGCCUUUUCUUUUGAGACUUAAUACAACAAUGCUGAAUUCCUGGUCAUCGACGUGCCUGCCGACUUCGAUCUACUAUUUGGAGAACCUUGGUUCGAGGAGCUAUUGGACGACCCUGCCUGUCUCACACCCAAGGGUUCUAGCUUCCAUGACACUUCUAUCAAGAAUACACCGGCUUUGCGCCAAGAGAGGAAUGAAUGUGUCCAAGAAUGCUACUACAGGUGGAAUGCCUCUGCUUGAGUAGUCCACCCUAAGCUACCAGAAGGGAAGAUGGUGAGAAUGUUUCUCCUAGGCCUCAAUACUUCAUGCAAGAGCCGCUUCGCUGCAUUUCCCUACAACACCUGGAGUCAAGUCUGGCAUCAAAUCCUACAGAUCUGUGGAUGUAGCCCUCCUGAUGAUGAUGAUGGUGAAGACGUUUGGGAGUAUCCCGAAAACUAUCUUUAUGAUUAGUGUCUUAUAUUCAAGUCCAGAGUUUGUCUUUCAAUUUUCGAGUCUAGUGAUGAGUGUAAGAGUCUAUGGCUAGAGUCUUGCAUCAUCAAGAGCCUCUAAAGGCCGAACUUCAAGUUAAAGUUGUCGAUGUAAUGAUUGCUAAUUUCGAUAAUACUUCAAUUUCCUCCUAAUCUUCAAGUCCGAAUUCAAAACACAUUCCUAAUCAAAACAACUUUGCUUCACAAGAAACUGACCUUGAAAUCUUAAAAGCUAUUGAAAAUCAUGAAAACAGGACGCCCAUAAUUAAGGAAACAAAAAAAGUUAACCUUUCUAACAACAAUGAUCCAAAACUAGUUCAGAUUGGUUUGACUCUAGCUCAAGCAGAGCGGGAUGAUCUUAUCAAGCUACUUUCAGAGUACAUAGACGACUUUGCACGGUCCUAUCAUGAUAUGCCAGGUGCUAAACUCGUGAGAAGCCGUAGCCCGUUAUUUGCUCACGGGUCAUUACCAAUUACAAUCAAUAAGGAGAAGUUUGAAAGAGCUAAAGCCCAUCAUAAACAUUGGAAGAGUCCAAAGAAAAGCAAAAGAAAUAAUAAAUGAAGAAUGGGCCACUAAAAUCUCCACCCAAAUGAAGAAUCACGUGAGUUAGAAGAGUCACCUUUGACUCAUUCUCUUCCUCACCCAAAUCUCACACUUUCUGUUCCAGUAACCACCAAAAGAGAAAACAUGGCAAAUCUUUCGCCCUCCUUCUCGGCGCAUCAAACAACAAACUCACGAUGCCGAUCUUCUAGUUCCGAUAUUCCCGGUCAAAAACUAGGGUUUAUCUCUUAUUAAUUGGCUACUCAAACCGUCAAUUGGAGGGAGGCAAUGAACAAAAAUUGAGGGUCGUAAGACGAAGCUAGGGCACAAGAUUGAUCUGAGACUAGGAAAUUCGGUUGUAUUGGAGGGCGAGUGAUCGAUAUCAACGGCGAAAUCGAGCAGCGGCUGUUUGGUCUAGCUUCGACAAUAAGUUUCCCCUUACUUUAGCUCUUAAUUAUCUAGUUUAUGAUUGAACUUGCUGUUUAUGCUUGGAUUAAUUAUUUGUUUUGAAUUUCUUGAUUUUAUGUUCAUCUUUUUAGAUGUGGAGUUUAAUCAUAUUUCAUGUUUGAGUUUGGUAUUUAUUCAAUUCGUAUGCUCAUGUAUUUGAAUUAUAAUGUUUAAUAUUUAUACUUGUAAUAGUGCACGAUUACUAGUA